UUCUCCCGCCUUCUGGCCUUCGUGGAACAAAAUACCGAUGUGGCCAGAGGUUGUAAAUACAUUUCUAGGGAGUCAAGAGCUGCUUUAUUGAACACAAUAAAGGAUUCACUGAAUGGUUUGGGUCCUCCCACACGCAGCAUGACAAAAGGUUUGGAUCGACAAAAAACUGCAAAUCAAAAAUAAAUUACAACACAACAAAAAAGAAGUAACGGGCACUGGAGGUGGUCCUAAUACUGAACAUAUUUUUAACGGUGUAGAGGAAAGUAUUAUCCGUCUGAACAAUUAAGACUCAGUGUGCCUUCCGCAUCCGUGGUUGUCGAUGAGACUACACAUUCUGAUUAGGUCCAAAUAAUAAAACCAAAUAUAACGAUCGAUGAAUCGUUCUCUGCUGAUGCAUCCUACGAAAGCGGAACUGAAAGAAGUCUAUCAGCAAUGCGUGGCCGUGAAAAAGGGACAAAGCGUAUAAUUCCAGAGCCUCUCGUUAGAAACAAUCCGACGAUUUUUCCAAGAUGAA